UACGUAGGGCGCAAGCGUUAUCCGGAAUUAUUGGGCGUAAAGAGCUUGUAGGCGGUUUGUCGCGUCUGCCGUGAAAAUCCGAGGCUCAACCUCGGACUUGCGGUGGGUACGGGCAGACUAGAGUGUGGUAGGGGAGACUGGAAUUCCUGGUGUAGCGGUGAAAUGCGCAGAUAUCAGGAGGAACACCGAUGGCGAAGGCAGGUCUCUGGGCCACUACUGACGCUGAGAAGCGAAAGCAUGGGGGAGCGAACAGG
rnacentral:rRNA from 1 species